UAGAGCUCCAUAGGCAUCUUCGGGAUAAAGAAGGACCCAACCUACAGGAAAAGAUGAAGAAUCAGAUCCGUCAGUGGUUCAUCGAGUGUCAUGACCUUACCGGCCAGUUCCCUGAAUAUCCCGAUGAAGAGAUAGGUGGUUCUGAAGUCAUCUAUUCAGACAAGACCCCGCUAGAGUUGAAAACAGAAAUGGACCAGGUGGAAGAUGAAAAUGCCAAAAAGAAGGGGAAAGAAAA